GGUGAGGUAACGGCUCACCUAGGCGACGAUACAUAGCCGACCUGAGAGGGUGAUCGGCCACACUGGGACUGAGACACGGCCCAGACUCCUACGGGAGGCAGCAGUAGGGAAUCUUCGGCAAUGGGGGCAACCCUGACCGAGCAACGCCGCGUGAGUGAAGAAGGUUUUCGGAUCGUAAAGCUCUGUUGUAAGUCAAGAACGAGUGUGAGAGUGGAAAGUUCACACUGUGACGGUAGCUUACCAGAAAGGGACGGCUAACUACGUGCCAGCAGCCGCGGUAAUACGUAGGUCCCGAGCGUUGUCCGGAUUUAUUGGGCGUAAAGCGAGCGCAGGCGGUUUGAUAAGUCUGAAGUUAAAGGCUGUGGCUCAACCAUAGUUCGCUUUGGAAACUGUCAAACUUGAGUGCAGAAGGGGAGAGUGGAAUUCCAUGUGUAGCGGUGAAAUGCGUAGAUAUAUGGAGGAACACCGGUGGCGAAAGCGGCUCUCUGGUCUGUAACUGACGCUGAGGCUCGAAAGCGUGGGGAGCGAACAGGAUUAGAUACCCUGGUAGUCCACGCCGUAAACGAUGAGUGCUAGGUGUUGGAUCCUUUCCGGGAUUCAGUGCCGCGGCUAACGCAUUAAGCACUCCGCCUGGGGAGUACGACCGCAAGGUUGAAACUCAAAGGAAUUGACGGGGGCCCGCACAAGCGGUGGAGCAUGUGGUUUAAUUCGAAGCAACGCGAAGAACCUUACCAGGUCUUGACAUCCCGAUGCUAUUUCUAGAGAUAGAAAGUUACUUCGGUACAUCGGUGACAGGUGGUGCAUGGUUGUCGUCAGCUCGUGUCGUGAGAUGUUGGGUUAAGUCCCGCAACGAGCACAACCCCUAUUGUUAGUUGCCAUCAUUCAGUUGGGCACUCUAGCGAGACUGCCGGUAAUAAACCGGAGGAAGGUGGGGAUGACGUCAAAUCAUCAUGCCCCUUAUGACCUGGGCUACACACGUGCUACAAUGGUUGGUACAACGAGUUGCGAGUCGGUGACGGCAAGCUAAUCUCUUAAAGCCAAUCUCAGUUCGGAUUGUAGGCUGCAACUCGCCUACAUGAAGUCGGAAUCGCUAGUAAUCGCGGAUCAGCACGCCGCGGUGAAUACGUUCCCGGGCCUUGUACACACCGCCCGUCACACCACGAGAGUUUGUAACACCCGAAGUCGGUGAGGUAACCUUUUGGAGCCAGCCGCCUAAGGUGGGAUAGAUGAUUGGGGUGAAGUCGUAACAAGGUA
rnacentral:rRNA from 1 species